GAUGAACGCUGGCGGCGUGCUUAACACAUGCAAGUCGAACGGAAAGGCUCCUGCUUGCAGGGGUACUCGAGUGGCGAACGGGUGAGUAACACGUGGGUGAUCUGCCCUGCACUUCGGGAUAAGCCUGGGAAACUGGGUCUAAUACCGGAUAGGACCAUCGUUUAGUGUCGGUGGUGGAAAGUUUUUUCGGUGUGGGAUGAGCUCGCGGCCUAUCAGCUUGUUGGUGGGGUAAUGGCCUACCAAGGCGUCGACGGGUAGCCGGCCUGAGAGGGUGUACGGCCACAUUGGGACUGAGAGACGGCCGAGACUCCUACGGGAGGCAGCAGGGGGGAAUAUUGCACAAUGGGCGCGAGCCUGAUGCAGCGACGCGGCGUGGGGGAUGACGGCCUUCGGGUUGUAAACUCCUUUCGCCAGGGACGAAGCGAAAGAGACGGUACCUGGAUAAGAAGCACCGGCUAACUACG
rnacentral:rRNA from 1 species